rnacentral:tRNA from 1 species
AAGAAAUUAGUUAAAACAUAACAUUAACUUGUCAAGUUAAAAUUAUUUAUUAAAUAGAUAUUUCUUA